rnacentral:rRNA from 1 species
GUAGGGCGCAAGCGUUAUCCGGAAUUAUUGGGCGUAAAGAGCUCGUAGGCGGUUUGUCGCGUCUGCUGUGAAAUCCCGAGGCUCAACUUCGGGUCUGCAGUGGUACGGGCAGACUAGAGUGCGGUAGGGGAGAUUGGAAUUCCUGGUGUAGCGGUGGAAUGCGCAGAUAUCAGGAGGAACACCGAUGGCGAAGGCAGAUCUCUGGGCCGUAACUGACGCUGAGGAGCGAAAGGGUGGGGAGCAAACAGGCUUAGAUACCCUGGUAGUCCACCCCGUAAACGUUGGGAACUAGUUGUGGGGUCCAUUCCACGGAUUCCGUGACGCAGCAAACGCAUUAAGUUCCCCGCCUGGGGAGUACGGCCGCAAGGCUA